UUUCCGUAGGUGAACCUGCGGAAGGAUCAUUGUCGAUACCUGCAUAGGCAAACCGCGAACUCGUUUCAACACAAUGGGAACCGCCGUUUGGGGCAACUCUACGGCGAGUCUCCCCCCGCGUGAGCUGCGGUCUAACGAACCCCGGCGCGGCAUGCGCCAAGGAAAACUCAUAGGAGCGUCCGCCCCCGUCGCCCCGUGCGCGGUCAGUGAUGGGGGACGUGCCUCAAUGUCUAAACGACUCUCGGCAACGGAUAUCUCGGCUCUCGCAUCGAUGAAGAACGUAGCGAAAUGCGAUACUUGGUGUGAAUUGCAGAAUCCCGUGAACCAUCGAGUCUUUGAACGCAAGUUGCGCCCGAAGCCUUUCGGCCGAGGGCACGCCUGCCUGGGCGUCACGCAUCGCGUCGCCCCCCGCCCGUCCCCGGACAUUGGCCCCCCGUGCGCCCAGCCCGCGGCUGGCUUAAAUGAACUCAUGUGGCGCCCGCCGUCACGACAAGCGUUGGUUGAGCACUCCUCUCUGUUGCUGUCGUGUUGUGCGGCGCGCUGCGUCCUCGCAGACCCAAUGGCUCGACUGCUCGUGCCUUCGUACGCGACCCCAGGUCAGGCGGGACCACCCGCUGAGUUUAA
rnacentral:rRNA from 1 species